CACACUAAUCUUCCCCUCCUCUGUAUCCACGUCGCUCUUCGUAAUGGAAAAAAAACAAAGCAAAAUAUUCCAUGAGAUUGAUGAAGCUUCUUUGAGCUUGCUUUGGUGGGUAGAAUUCAACUUCGAUCGCUGAAUUUGUGGAUUUUCACUGAGUGUGCUCUGGUUUCUCUAAUGGCUGGAAUUAGGUUUUCAAUUUUGAAGUCACUUUGUAAUCCCAUCUCAAAAACGCAUUCGUUUAGAUCGUAUGAUUCUUGUAUGGAUUUUGCAAAAUAUGCCUAUCAAGUUCAAUUAAAAUCA